UUUAACUAAUUAUCUGUACAUGCUGCUGUCUUCUUGGAGAGAUUACCACUGAUCUUUCUGUUGUACAUACGCCCUGCAGGUGCUCCUGGGAUCAAAAAAGAGUUUCAGACAGAGCUCUUUUCCACCAGCAAGCAUAAUUUGGAGGAGUGGUAGGUGCACUCCCAGAAUCCUAGAGUCACUGAAUAUCCUGAGUUGGAAGGGUCUCACAAGGAUCACCAAGUCCAACUCCUGACUCCACAAAGGACCACCCAAACAUGUGUCUCAGAGCACUGUCCAAACGCUUCUUGAACUCCGGCAGGCUCGAGGCUGUGACCACCGCCCUGGGGAGCCUGUCCCAGUGCCCGACCACCCUCUGGGUGCAGAACCUUUCCCUAACCCCCAGCCUGACCCUCCCCUGUCCCAGCUCCAUGCCGUUCCCUCGGGUCCUGUCGCUGUCCCCAGAGAGCAGAGCUCAGCGCCUGCCCCUCCGCUCCCCUCGUGAGGGAGCUGCCGGCCGCCAUGAGGCCUCCCCUCAGCCUGCUCUGCUCUGGACUGAAUCCUGUGGCAUCCCAUGGCAUUUGAGGAAGAAUUUAGUCUCCCUGAGGCUAAGGAAUGAACCCGGGUUCCCUGCUGGAAGAACUUGCUGUUUUCAGGUCAUGGAUUUAGGAUGGUGUAGCACAGCUGAGAUCUCUGGAAGUAGUCCUGGCCAGCUGAUCUUCAAAAGGUGUGUGAAGCUCCUGCUCUACCCCUUGGACUCCAAUAUCUUUAAGGUGGCCGUGCCAGUUCUGAAGAAGACCAGGGAGGAGGAGAAGAAUGAUUUGAAGCCUUCAGUUUUUCUUGUGGACAUUUAAUCCUGGCAAUACUAAGUUGUUGAUCAGUCCUUCUCACUUCCCCACAUCUCAGAGCACAGCUGGAGCCCCCCAAGCUAACUGAAGUCAUAUGAUGCUCUGAGGGCAGCCAAACAUCCCAGGAGCAGCAAGAAGCUGACAGGCUGAGCAGCCCAACAGGACAAUAAAGUGUUUUUUAAAAAGAGAGGGAAACA
rnacentral:lncRNA from 1 species